AUUGAACGCUAGCGGGAUGCUUUACACAUGCAAGUCGAACGGAGGGGCGAACGGGUGAGUAAUGUCUAGGAACGUGCCCAGUAGUGGGGGAUAACUACGCGAAAGAGUAGCUAAUACCGCAUACUCUUGGAAGGGCCGAUAUCGGGUUAUCUAGUGGGUGAGGUAACGGCCCACCAAGGCGACGAUCCGUAGCUGGUUUGAUAGGACGAACAGCCAAACUGGGACUGAGACACGGCCCAGACUCCUACGGUAGGCAGCAGUGGGGAAUUUUGGACAAUGGGGGGAACCCUGAUCCAGCACUCCCGCGUGUGCGAUGAAGGCCUUCGGGUUGUAAAGCUCUGUUAAUCGGGACGCGGUACCGGAAUAGAAAGCCACGGCUAACUACGUGCCAGCAGCCGCGGUAAUAC
rnacentral:rRNA from 1 species